rfam:Lepisosteus oculatus linkage group LG14, whole genome shotgun sequence.
CCCCGACUAGCUCUUUUGGUGGAGCAUGAGACUCAUAAUCUCAGGCUUGUGGGUUCGUGUCCCAUGUCGGGCA